UUCUCGGAAUCAUAUUUUCCCAACAGUUCUCAAGAAACCCAAGCGUUUUGAUUGUCCCCAAUUCAAGCCAAUCUAAUUGAUAAUCAUUGAAAUUGAUGGCACUAUCAUUCUCGGUAGCUAAAUGUGAUGGAAGAUGUUCUUAAACAACACAGUAAUCAACAACUUGAUUUGGAUUCCCCGUAGAGCAGAGGAAGCUGUGCUUCAGGAGGAGGAGUGCUGGAUUGACUUAACUCAAAUACAAGGAAGAUGAGCAAGAAGAACCCACUUGUAUACUUGGACGUGUCUAUAGAUGGAGAUCCUAUUGAAAGAAUGGUUUUUGAG
rnacentral:lncRNA from 1 species